AUUGAACGCUGGCGGCAGGCCUAACACAUGCAAGUCGAACGGUAGCACAGAGAGCUUGCUCUCGGGUGACGAGUGGCGGACGGGUGAGUAACGUCUGGGAAACUGCCCGAUGGAGGGGGACAACUACUGGAAACGGUAGCUAAUACCGCAUAACGUCGCAAGACCAAAGUGGGGGACCUUCGGGCCUCACACCAUCGGAUGUGCCCGGAUGGGAUUAGCUAGUAGGUGGGGUAAUGGCUCACCUACGCGACGAUCCCUAGCUGGUCUGAGAGGAUGACCAGCCACCCUGGAACUGAGACACGGUCCAGACUCCUACGGGAGGCAGCAGUGGGGAAUAUUGCACAAUGGGCGCAAGCCUGAUGCAGCCAUGCCGCGUGUAUGAAGAAGGCCUUCGGGUUGUAAAGUACUUUCAGCGGGGAGGAAGGCGGUGAGGUUAAUAACCUCGCCGAUUGACGUUACCCGCAGAAGAAGCACCGGCUAACUCUGUGCCAGCCGCCGCGGUAA
rnacentral:rRNA from 1 species